rnacentral:misc_RNA from 1 species
GGCUCAAGCUCACCUCUCAACCCCUACUUUUCGUUUCUCUUAUCUUUUUGGGAAUCUGGGGUCUCUUCUCACUUCUCUGUUUCUUUCCUUUUUUUUUUUUCAUCAUCAAAUUUUGAGAAAGCUCUGAGCUUGAAAGAAGCUAAUUAGUCUAUGUAAUAUGUAGUGUGGUAUAAUGUAGAGAUCUGGAAGAAUUCCAUGGUGCGUUUCGGUAAAGCAAAGAUGGAACAGAUCUGGUUUCAGCCAAAGCCGAGAAGGGUUCAUAGGAGGGUAUGGUUAAGGAUCCAAAAAUCAAUGGGUGUCCUCGUGGGUGGGAAUCACACUUCUUCCAGGUUUUGCACUCGCUAAUUCUCUUCUUUUCUUUAGUUUGGCUUUAACCUCUCUCUGUCAAAAGACAAGUUUUUUUUUUUCGACAAUUUCUUCGAAACCCACUGUUUGAAAUCCUCCUGUUUGAUCAAAUCAUUGAUAUUUUGGUGUCAAUUUCGUUCCUAAGAGUGAAAAUCCAUGGAUUUUAAGUCCUUGAGAAUCCAGAUCCUGAGUGGGUCAAUAGCCAGGCGCUUGCUGUUACGUGCAUUUAUGCUUGCCUCGGCUUUUUCUGUCAUUCCUUUCAUCCAAAUCCUUUCUGGGUCUGAUCCUGUAUUGCUCGAUUCUGUGAACUUCCACGAAUGUGAUUCGCUUUUUGCGGGCACGAAUUUGUUUCAGAAUCGGUUUUUGAAACCCAUUUGGAACUCAUUUGAGUGCAAGGAAGAUGUUAAUUUGACCAUGGAUGUUGUUACAGCGCUAAUGGUUAAGCAACUGUUGGAUUACGGUUCAAAUGCUCUCUAUGUUGGUGAAGGAUCGGCCUCUGCCGUGUAUGCAUUGCGAGAGUUGGGAUUUUCCAAUGCUUGUGGGGUGCACCGACACCCCUUUUUCUCGAUUAAGCAUAGAAAGCUCGUUUAUGAGCUUCAAUUUGCAGACAAUUUCUUUGAUUUUGUGUUAUCUAGGGACUUAGAUGAAGUUUCGGUCCCUGCAGUUCUUGUGCUCGAGAUCGAGCGUGUUCUGAAGCCCGGUGGAAUUGGGGCUAUGCUGGUGGGUGUUGGUGGUUUGAACCCUAAUGGCUUGAUUAGGUCUGCUACACCCGUUUCAUCAUUAUUGAAAUCCUCCAAUGUGGUACAUGUUGGUUAUGUUCAUGAGUAUACAUUGGUGGUUUUCCAGAAAAGAUUUGAAAAAGUUGGCUUCUUUGAGCAAUUCCGUCUACCAGCUGAUUGCCAAUCUUUUUCGAAUAACAAACACUUUAUGGAACAUCUAGAGCCCCUUGUGGAGAACAAGGAAAUGGGAUUUGAGAAAAAGAUUGCAUUUUUGCCCAAUUUCAUUCAUGUGCUUUCAAGGAAGAAGUUGGUGUAUAUUGAAAUUGGGGCAGCAGAACGUCUGAACUCUAGUGUUGCUAAUUGGUUCAUUCCAUUUUAUCCUGUGGAUCACAAGGCUUUCGAUAUUUAUUUUGUUGAUCAUAACACUUCAGUUUUGCUUUCUUGUGUUAAAAAGCCUGGUGUUACCUUCAUUUACUAUCCUGGCCUUGCUGGAGACAAGAUUACCGCUUCGAUUUCUGAUGUUGAAGAUCUAGAUCCAUCUGUGGAAGAUGAGGGAUUUGAUUUCCUUUCUUGGUUUAGAGAAACAGUGGAGUAUGCAGAUUUUGUUGUUCUAAAGAUGAAAGCAGGGGAGGCAGAAUUGAAAUUCCUCACAGACUUGUAUGAAAGUGGAGCCAUUUGCUUUGUUGACGAGCUGUUCCUUAGCUGCGCAGAUCAUGUAGAUGACAAUGGUGUGAUGAGCAAGGACUGCAUGGAUCUCCUUAAAAGCCUUAGAAGCAGUGGCAUGUAUGUCCACCAAUGGUGGGGAGAUUAAUCCCCAAUUAAUUUAUGAGGAACUGUGUCUUGUUACUUUGAACUGUGUUUGUUGUUGUUGUUGUUGUUUUUGUUGUUGUUGUUGUUGUUGUUCUGUCUAAAUAAUAUCUGUGGAUGUGUGGCCUCCCAAGGCUUCUUUCAAUUUGCAUUUUAUGUGAAACAGGAGUACCUUCUUUGGUUUAUGAUUGUUGCUUUGAUUAUUUUCAUGUGCUUAAGUUGAAAGCCUGCUACUAUAAUGCUUGCUGUAAGUAGAAGUUUAGUACUGGAGAGGGGGCCUCAGGUGCACAAAUUCCCAGGUACCUAAAUGGCGAAUUUUGUUAUAGCCUUUGAUUAUGUUAGGUCCCAUUAUAAUCAACGCUCAAAAUUUAU